rnacentral:lncRNA from 13 species
AGAUGGGGACAUAGUUUUCUAUACAGAAUCUCUCUAGUUUCCUGUCCAGAAUCUGUUUUUUCAUCUUUCAGAAGCCCUUUAUUCCAUUUUGCUAAAUAUCUGUGUUUCCCAGGAAUAAAAUUUGAUCUCCAGGCAGCUUUCAGUAUCUGCCCUGCCUCUGUAGCUGGUCUUGGCAUUGUCACAACAAGCAUACAAAUUGAACAGCAAAUUAAAAAACACUAUGAUGAGGUAAGAGAGAAGUUGUGGAAGAAAAAGAAAACCCAUUUGCUCUUACUGCCGUCAACAGCCCUCUUUUCCUGUCUUGUGAAGGAAAGAUUCCAUAUUUUCACUUUGGACUGGGCCUGGCACAUUUUUUAGCUAGCCCUAAUUACUAGACUAAUGAUGUGAACAUUCAUCCCACAAAGAUUUUCUGAGUGCCCACUAGUGCCUAGACUUAAAGAGAUAGAUUAGAGAAAUACCUAAAGAGAUAGGCAGAGAAAGCCAGCUGACACUACAAAGUAGAAUGUAAGAAGCAGAGACCGGGAGACACAGGCAAGAGACUUUACAGAGACUUGGUACAGACUUGGGAGGCUCCUUGUCUUGUUUGGCCCAGGGAGACACUGAGCUAAGGCUCACAGAGAUGCUGCCUGAGCAAAUGUCCACUUUGUGCAAGUGAAAGCUGUCCUGAGCCUCCUUGCUUGAGACUGGAGUGAGAGUCAACUUACUUGAGCAAUCAGUGUCUUUCAUAGGCUGCAUGACUUAUUCUGGGUUCUUCUCUGCUCAUAGUAUAGCUUGUAUUCCACUAGGAGGAAUGUCAGAUACCUCCUGUGUCAGCUAAGGAUCUAAGAUAUGGGCUAUUAGCCUGUCUCACUACUUCCUAGUCUAGCCUUACUGGGGCUGAUAGAAUUUAGCCCUUAAUACUAGGGUCUUAAAAAAAGGACAGGAUCUUGCUUUCUUGAAAUAGUCAACUGCCUCUCCUCCCUAAUCUUCCACCCUUGGCCAUGAGGUAAGAUGUUCUCAGGGUCCAGGUAUCCUUCUCUUAGAAUGAAAGUAGCUGGUGAUAACCAUGUCUGUGACUUCUUUCAGACCAAGGCUUGACAGUUUCUGGACCCACAACUUCAGCAACCUUUAAAAAAAGAAAAUCCAUGGAGUUGAGUGGGUACACAACUCCACACAACUCCACUCAACUCCAUGGAUGGCCUGUUGAUGAAUGUGUACCCACUCAACUAAAUCUUACCUUACUUAAGCCAAAUCUAAGAUAAGACUUAGUAAGAAUGGGUAUGCAUUCAUCUUACUGGGUUGGUUCUUCUAAGUAUUUCUCUCCCAUGUCUCCUCAUUAGUCCUUUUCCCCCUACCCCUACUCCACACCAAAAUCACUUCAUCAGAUGCAGAAACUUAUAUUGGUUUGUAUACUUUUGAGGCCUGGUCAUUGCUAGUGAGGGCCUAUUUUUAUUAUUCACUCAAAAUUACUAGUGUUACUAGUGAAUAAAACUAACUAGUAAUGCUAAUUAGUAACA